UGCCCAAGUGAAGAUGGCUGAUACCCACC
rnacentral:piRNA from 2 species